GACGAACGCUGGCGGCGUGCUUAACACAUGCAAGUCGAACGGAAAGGCCCUGCUUUUGUGGGGUGCUCGAGUGGCGAACGGGUGAGUAACACGUGAGUAACCUGCCCUUGACUUUGGGAUAACUUCAGGAAAUUGGGGCUAAUACCGGAUAGGAGCUCCUGCUGCAUGGUGGGGGUUGGAAAGUUUCGGCGGUUGGGGAUGGACUCGCGGCUUAUCAGCUUGUUGGUGGGGUAGUGGCUUACCAAGGCUUUGACGGGUAGCCGGCCUGAGAGGGUGACCGGCCACAUUGGGACUGAGAUACGGCCCAGACUCCUACGGGAGGCAGCAGUGGGGAAUAUUGCACAAUGGGCGGAAGCCUGACGCAGCAACGCCGCGUGCGGGAUGACGGCCUUCGGGUUGUAAACCGCUUUCGCCUGUGACGAAGCGUGAGUGACGGUAAUGGGUAAAGAAGCACCGGCUAACUACGUG
rnacentral:rRNA from 1 species